rnacentral:misc_RNA from 1 species
GCUACUACCGAUUGACUGGUUUAGUGAGGACUCCUGAUUGGCGCCGCCGCCCCGGCAACGGAGCAGCGGACUGCCGAAAAGUUGUUCAAACUUGAUCAUUUAGAGGAAGUAAAAGUCGUAACAAGGUUUCUGUAGGUGAACCUGCAGAAGGAUCAAGAUCGGAAGAGCACACGUCUGAAGGAGAGGGACGUGGCCUUAUCUCGUAUGCGUUCUUCCGCUUGAAACAAAAAAAUCAGUUGCACUUCUUCUUACCACUUGAGAUGCCACAUAUUGA